rnacentral:rRNA from 1 species
GACGAACGUUGGCGGCGUGCUUAACACAUGCAAGUCGAACGGUGAACGAGGGAGCUUGCUCCCUCCGGAUCAGUGGCGAACGGGUGAGUAACACGUGAGCAAUCUGCCCCGAACUCUGGGAUAAGCGUUGGAAACGACGUCUAAUACCGGAUACGACGCGGGAGGGCAUCCUCUCCGCGUGGAAAGAACUUCGGUUCGGGAUGAGCUCGCGGCCUAUCAGCUUGUUGGUGAGGUAACGGCUCACCAAGGCGACGACGGGUAGCCGGCCUGAGAGGGUGACCGGCCACACUGGGACUGAGACACGGCCCAGACUCCUACGGGAGGCAGCAGUGGGGAAUAUUGCACAAUGGGCGCAAGCCUGAUGCAGCAACGCCGCGUGAGGGACGACGGCCUUCGGGUUGUAAACCUCUUUUAGCAGGGAAGAAGCGAAAGUGACGGUACCUGCAGAAAAAGCACCGGCUAACUACGUG